UUGUAAUUCUUCAAUGUGUGGAAGUGAGAAGGAUGAUUUCCCCUCAGCUUUGUAUUAUUGUUGUUUGAGAGAGGUUUUGAGAUUCUUUUCUGGUGUCCCUUAUUGUUUUCUGCUGGUGUUAAUUUGUUUCAAUCGUGUAUACAUUAGCAGGAAGAUUUGGGUUAUCAUAGAGGUGGUCUAUGAUUUGUUUUCUCUUCAUAAUUUCAUUUACGUUACUUGGAAAUGAAAAAGAAAAAGGUGCUCAUCUUUUCAAAGAACAAUAAGUGAGAUGUUCAAAAGAAGAAAAAUAAAAUUAUGAUUUGUUUCAAA
rnacentral:misc_RNA from 1 species